rnacentral:rRNA from 1 species
AGUGAAUAGAUACCCAGGUAGUCCUAGCCGUAAACGAUACUCGCUAGGUGUCGGCCACGGUGCGACCGUUGUCGGUGCCGUAGGGAAAGCCGUGAAGCGAGCCACCUGGGAAGUACGGCCGCAAGGCUGAAACUUAAAGGAAUUGGCGGGGGGAGCACCACAACGGGUGGAGCUUGCGGUUUAAAUUGGAUUCAACGCCGGAAAUCUUACCGGGACCGACAGCAACAUGAAGGCCAGGCUGAAGACUUUGCCGGAUUAGCUGAGAGGUGGUGCAUGGCCGUCGUCAGUUCGUACUGUGAAGCAUCCUGUUAAGUCAGGCAACGAGCGAGACCCACGCCCACAGUUGCCAGCGUACUCUCCGGAGUGACGGGUACACUGUGGGGACCGCCGCUGCUAAAGCGGAGGAAGGAAUGGGCAACGGUAGGUCAGUAUGCCCCGAAUAUCCCGGGCUACACGCGAGCUACAAUGGUUGGUACAAUGGGUAUCUACCCCGAAAGGGGAUGGAAAUCUCCUAAAGCCAAUCUUAGUUCGGAUUGAGGGCUGCAACUCGCCCUC